UCUUUCUCUCUCUGUCUGUCAUGUGAAGACAUAGAAGGUGGCCAUCUGCAAGCCAGGAAGAGAGUUCUCACUAAGAAACACACUUUGACUUUGGACUUCCCAGCCUCCAGAACUGUGAGAAAUAAAUUCCUGUUGUUUAAACUAUUCAGUCUACGGUAUUUUAUUAUGACAAUCCAAGCUGACUAAUACAUCUGCUUUUUUUUUUCACUCAACAUAUGCUUGUGCAAUUCAUUCAUGUUCAUAAGUGUACCUAUAGUUCAUUAAUUUUUUACUGCCAUAUUAAACUUGCUAUAUAAUAUUAAAUUACUUGAAAAUACCAGUUUAUUUACCCAUUCAAUAUUAGUGGACAUAUAAGUUAUUUACAGCUUUUAGUUAUUGUACAGACAAAGGUGUCAUGAGUAUUCUUAUACUUAUCUCCUAGGAUACAUGUGCAAGAAUUUCUUUAGGAUCUGUUUCUGGAUCAGAAUUGUGGUGUCAGAGUACACACAUCUUCAACUUCACCAGAUCAUGCCAGGUUGUUUUUCAAGUGGUUGUAACCAUCUACUCUUCCUAGCAAACACUUCCACUUGGGUACGCCACAUAAUUAAGUUCUGGCCAAUGAGAUACAUAAUACAACAGUCCCCUUAUCUCCAGAGACAUAUUCCAAGACCCACAACUGUUGCCUGAAACUAUGGAUAAUGCCGAACCCUAUAUGUACUAUGUUGUUUCUAAUAACCAAGAUGGCUAAUAAAUGAAUAAAGGACAGGUGGCUUAUAUAGCAGGGAUACACUGGACAAAGAGAUGAUAUGACUGGAGCUUCACCAGCCAUUCUGAAUCAUGAGAUGGCCUUAUAGAUACAAGUCAGAGAGGAUAUUGGAGCAGAGAGACAGAAAAGCCUGAGUUCCUGAUGACCAUGGAAACAUCGUACCAGUCUUGGAGUGCCAAUUCUGUACUUCUUUUAUGUGAGAGAGAAAUAAAUUCCUGUUGUCUAAGCUA
rnacentral:lncRNA from 1 species